CGCCUAACACAUGCAAGUCGAACGAAGUAGCAAUACUUAGUGGCAGACGGGUGAGUAACAUGUAGGUAUCUGCCCUUUGGCCUGGAAUAACACGAGGAAACUUGUGCUAAUACCGGAUAAGUCUUUACGGAGAAAGCUUUAUGCACCAUUGGAUGAGCCUGCACUUGAUUAGUUUGUUGGUGGGGUAAUGGCCUACCAAGACUGUGAUCAAUAGCUGAUUUGAGAGGAUGAUCAGCCACAUUGGGACUGAGACACGGCCCAAACUCCUACGGGAGGCAGCAGUGGGGAAUCUUGCACAAUGGAGGAAACUCUGAUGCAGCGAUGCCGCGUGAGUGAAGAAGGCCCUUGGGUUGUAAAGCUCUUUCGUCGGGGAAGAAAAUGACUGUACCCGAAUAAGAAGGUCCGGCUAACUUCGUGCCAGCAGCCGCGGUAAUACGAAGGGACCUAGCGUAGUUCGGAAUUACUGGGCUUAAAGAGUUCGUAGGUGGUUAAAAAAGUUGGUGGUGAAAUCCCAGAGCUUAACUCUGGAACUGCCAUCAAAACUUUUUAGCUAGAGUAUGAUAGAGGAAAGCAGAAUUUCUAGUGUAGAGGUGAAAUUCGUAGAUAUUAGAAAGAAUACCAAUUGCGAAGGCAGCUUUCUGGAUCAUUACUGACACUGAGGAACGAAAGCAUGGGUAGCGAAGAGGAUUAGAUACCCUCGUAGUCCAUGCCGUAAACGAUGUGUGUUAGACGUUGGAAAUUUAUUUUCAGUGUCGCAGCGAAAGCGAUAAACACACCGCCUGGGGAGUACGACCG
rnacentral:rRNA from 1 species